UCCACGUGUGCUCUGAAACUGGACUUUAGA
rnacentral:piRNA from 1 species